rnacentral:rRNA from 1 species
UUGAACGCUGGCGGCAGGCCUCACACAUGCAAGUCGAACGGUAACAGGAAGAAGCUUGCUUCUUUGCUGACGAGUGGCGGACGGGUGAGUAAUGUCUGGGAAACUGCCUGAUGGAGGGGGAUAACUACUGGAAACGGUAGCUAAUACCGCAUAACGUCGCAAGACCAAAAAGGGGGACCUUCGGGCCUCUUGCCAUCGGAUGUGCCCAGAUGGGAUUAGCUAGUAGGUGGGGUAACGGCUCACCUAGGCGACGAUCCCUAGCUGGUCUGAGAGGAUGACCAGCCACACUGGAACUGAGACACGGUCCAGACUCCUACGGGAGGCAACAGUGGGGAAUAUUGCACAAUGGGCGCAAGCCUGAUGCAGCCAUGCCGCGUGUAUGAAGAAGGCCUUCGGGUUGUAAAGUACUUUCAGCGGGGAGGAAGGGAGUAAAGUUAAUACCUUUGCUCAUUGACGUUACCCGCAGAAGAAGCACCGGCUAACUCCGUG